rnacentral:lncRNA from 10 species
GAAACCCAUCCCUCUUACCCCAUUCUUGAGGUUUGCUUGAGUCUGACCUUCUAGAAUCCUGGCUCCAGAGAUGGAGAAUCUUCUCCCACUUCCCCUACGGGAAAGGACAAUGUAGUCUCUGCACAUGAACCCACUGCUCCUUCUUGGACCCUGGGGUACAUUCCAAAGGGGUGUUGACAUCUCACCGCAGAGACUUGGAGUGUAAGAAGAGCAAAUUGCUCACAGGCCUCUAUGCCAGCAGAGCUCUCUGGAAGCCACUGGAUCUUGUCUGGAAUCCCUUCUAAUUAGGUACAAUAAAACGGAUCGCAUACAUGUUCAUAGCAGCAUUAUUCCCAAUAGCCAAAAGGUGGAAGCAACCCAAAUGGUGAAUGGAUAAACACAUUCAUGUUAUGGCCCAUGAUGGAAUAUCACUCAGUUGUAAAAAGGAAUGAUGUCCUGAUUAAUGCUGCCACAUGGAAUAACCUUGAAAACAUGCUAGGAGGUGAAACAAGCCAGACACAAAAGCCACAUUUUGUAGGAUUCAAUUUCAUUAUUGGUUGAUUUGAGAAUCAAUGUUUUUAUGUAUUCUCGCAUUGCCCAAUUCCAAAAAGGGUUUGGAGCAGCUUACAAACAUGCCCACGCAAAGGGAGCCACAAAAUAAUGGCAAACUGACAAUGGAACGGAGGGUGAAGGAAGAAAUGGUGAAUAUUAGACUUGUGGUGCACAACCCAACAACGUGCAACGUUCACUUAUCAACCAGGCAGGUUUACUUAGGACAGAAGAAAAACCUGAUGUGGCUACACCAUUCUGUCUGAUUCCAUUUACAUGGAAUGCCAGAAUAGGCAAAUUCAUAGAGGGAGAAAGUAAAUUCGUGGUUCCAGCGGCUGAGAGAAGGGGUUCAUGAGGAGUUACUACUUAAUGGGAACAGGAUAUCCUUUUGGGGUGUGAUGAAGAUUCUCUGAAAUUAGAAGAUGGUGAUGGUUGCACAACCUUGUGAAUAUGCUUAAACCAUUGAAUUGUACAUUUUAAAUGGGUGAAUUUAAGGUUAUGUGAAUUGUAUCUCUAUAAAAAUAUUGGGUUACAUUAUAAAAUUGGAAAAAAAAAGAAAGAUCGAUGACCUCUUUACUUCUAUGUUUUCCCUUAGAAAUGGAAACCAGAUAUAUGUUUCAAUAUUGAUUUGGUGAUGCUUGGUUUCUUUAAAGGAGAAAAAAUUUCUGUGGAUAAGUGAUAAGGUGGCUUGAGAGGCUGUCCACGGACCCAGCAGUAUGGGGGGAGGAAUCCCCCUGUGGAGACAGCACAGGUGAUUGUCCAGGCCUGAGAAAGGCAAGGCUCUUGUAGAGCUCGCAAAGCUCAGUGUAAGAAAAUAAAUGGGAGCAGGCACACAUUACCCUUGGAGCCAGACAACCUGGGUUCACAUCCUGGCCACGCCACUAAGAGCUGUGUGACCUUAAGCAGAUUGCCUAAACUCUCUGUGCUUAAAUGACCUCAUCGACAAGAUGAGGAAACUAAUAGUACCUACCUUGAUGCAUGCUUUUGGGGGAUUCAAUGAUGAAUUGUCAUCUGUAAAGAGACCCAGAGUUCUGUAAACUGCUAUGUGUAUUUUUAUCAAAGAAAAUAAUCUAGUAA